GAUGAACGCUGGCGGCGUGCCUAAUACAUGCAAGUCGAGCGAACAGAUAAGGAGCUUGCUCCUUUGAAGUUAGCGGCGGACGGGUGAGUAACACGUGGGUAACCUACCUAUAAGACUGGGAUAACUUCGGGAAACCGGAGCUAAUACCGGAUAACAUUUAGAACCGCAUGGUUCUAAAGUGAAAGAUGGUUUUGCUAUCACUUAUAGAUGGACCCGCGCCGUAUUAGCUAGUUGGUAAGGUAACGGCUUACCAAGGCGACGAUACGUAGCCGACCUGAGAGGGUGAUCGGCCACACUGGAACUGAGACACGGUCCAGACUCCUACGGGAGGCAGCAGUAGGGAAUCCUCCGCAAUGGGCGAAAGCCUGACGGAGCAACGCCGCGUGAGUGAUGAAGGGUUUCGGCUCGUAAAACUCUGUUAUUAGGGAAGAACAAAUGUGUAAGUAACUGUGCACAUCUUGACGGUACCUAAUCAGAAAGCCACGGCUAACUACGUG
rnacentral:rRNA from 1 species